rnacentral:lncRNA from 1 species
CCCCCUGUUUUUUUUCAUGCCCGAAACGCCCUGGACGCGCAGUUGUCGCUCACACGGCCACCGCCUCCCCCGCGCUGCACCACCAUGUCCCGGGGGAUCAACGUCAUCGCCUACGCCGUCUACAACACCGAAUCGACGCUGGGGAGCAUCGCACCGACGGGAUCGAGGUCAUCUUCAACCUCGGUGUCGCCACCAUCCGCCGUUCGAUCCGCCACCGAUGAUGCAUCCCCGGCCUCCACGAGACCUCCUCGAGCUUCGCAGUGAGGCCUCGGUCCUAUAUGACCUCCUUCCUCUCUUCCCUGCAUCCCCUAGCUUCGAUUCCGGUGAAUACCGACUGUCACUGCCGCGGUAAGUAGUCGUAGCCGUCGUUUUGGUUCGCCUCAACUCACAACCAAUGUUCCUAUUACAUGUGGGCCACCAAUCCUCUGUUGACUAGUCAAAUUGAUUGGAUCAACCCCACUGUUGUAUGGCAAAGCACAGGGUGACAAAAGCUUUUCUAUUUAAAUUUUCGAAUUAAAUAAUUCAAAUAAAUCUAAGAAAGUUUGAAAAUUAAUAUAAAAUAAUAUGUAGCUCAGAUCAAAAUACUUUGUACAUGAAAGAUGCUCAGAACGACAAGACGAAUCCGAAUACGCAGUCCGUUCGGCCGUCACACAUCCAGAGCAUAGCGAACACGCAACUUUUCCCCUCCGGUUCAUCUGCCUGAAAACGCGAAACAUCGGGAAUACUUUCCUGGAUGUUUUCCCUCUUUGCCGUAAUCACCUAGUACUGCGUUAGGUCACCUCUAGCACCGCGUAUUGUCAUGUUAUGCCUUGUGAUGCUUUGAUUGCACUGUUAUUUAUUGUGUUCCUCUCCGUUACCUCUUUCCGAUAGACCCCAAGACCGUUGCCGAUACCCCUGUUGUCGACUACGGUGUUGACGCCCCCUCCUUGCCAGAGCAACCAGGCAAGCCCCUCCUUGAUCACCAGAUAUCGCCUACUCUUCUCUAUACUGCUUGCAUUAGAGUAGUGAAGCAUGUUACUGCUUUCCGUUAAUCCUAUCCUGAUGCAUAGCCUGUCUUUGCUACUACUGUUGUUACCUUUACCUGCAAUCCUAAAUGCUUAGUAUAGGAUGCUAGUAUUUCAUCAGUGGCCCUACAUUUUUGUCUGUCUGCCAUGCUAUACUAUCGGACCGUGAUCACUCGAGAGGUGAUCACGGGUAUAUACUAUAUACUUUAUACAUGAUACAUGUGGUGACUAAAGUCGGGUCGGCUCGUGGAGCACCCGCGAGUGAUUCACGGAUUGGGGGCUGAAAGGACCUUUGUCCCAACGGCCCUCUGUGUGGAUCUUUGUGGCGAAGCGACAGGGCAGGUUGAGACCACGUAGGAGAGAGGUGGGCCUGGCCCUGGUCGGCGUUCGCGGUUAUUUCAAGAUAACACAUUUAACGAGAUCUUGGUAUUUGAUCUGAGUUUGGCCACUAGCCUAUACGCACUAACCAUCUACGCGGGGACAGUUAUGGGCACUCGACGUCGUGGUAUCAGCCGAAGCCUUCGUGACGUCAGCGACUGAGCGGCGCGCGUCGGAUUGGACUGGAACGCUUGCUAGGCUAGGUCUGCUUCUGGCCGCCCUUGCAACAUGCAGGUGCGCAAUGGGCGAUGGGCCCAGACCCCUGCGCCAUAGGAUUUAGACCGAUGUGCUGACCUCUCUGUUGUGCCUAGGUAGGGUUGCGACGUGUUGAUCUUCCGAGGCCGGGCAUGACCCAGAAAAGUGUGUCCGGACAAAGGGGAUCGAGCGUGUUGGGAAAUGUGGUGCACCCCUGCAGGGAAGUUAAUCUAUUUGAAUAGCCGUGAUCUUUGGUAACAGAACGACUUGGAGUUGUACCUUGACCUUAUGACAACUAGAACCGGAUACUUAAUAAAACACACCCUUCCAAGUGCCAGUUACAACCGGUGAUCGCUCUCUCACAGGGCGACGAGAGGAGGAUCAUCGGUUAGGAUUAUGCUACACGAUGCUACUUGAUGAACUUACCAUCUACUCUCUUCUCCUGCUGCAAGAUGGAGGUUACCAGAAGCGUAGUCUUCGCUAGGACUAGCUAUCCCCCUCUUAUUCCGGCAUUCUGCAGUUCAGUCCACAUAUAAUACCCUUAUUCCAUUUGAUACCAAUGCAUACAUAUGUAGUGUAGCUCCUUGCUUGCGAGUACAUUGGAUGAGUACUCACGGUUGCUUUGCUCCCCCUUUUUUCCAUUUCCUAUACCCGAUUGCUGCGACCAGACGUUGGAGCCCAGGAGCCAGACGCCACCG